AAAAAAAAACAAAAAAAAUGUCAAAAUCCUCUUCAGUAGAUCAAAAUCUACUCGGUGACCGAAAUGACCUUCGGUCACCGCUUAUUCCGUCGAUUGGUGUCGACGGAUAUUUAAAACAAAAAAAAGUAACAAUGGAUCAAAUGUUGGAAAAAUACUGCGGCGAUUUUGGUUGGUGGCAAUUUAGUCAUUUUGUAUUAACGAGCUUUGCGUGGGCUCUAGAAGGAAUACACACUAUGGUUAUGAUUUUCGCCGAUCGUGAACCGGCUUGGCGGUGUUUGCCGAACCGGUUGUGCGAUUCAACCGCGAAAAGUGUGUGCGGGCUUGAACCGGGUUCAUGGGAAUGGACCGGUGGAGCUGCAAGUUCUACGGUAUCAGAGUUCGGUUUAAUUUGUGGACAGAAAUAUAAAGUUGGACUUGUCCAAUCCUUAUUUUUCGCUGCCUGCAUGAUUGGUGCUGGAGUAUUUGGACAUUUAUCAGAUUCCAAAUUGGGAAGAAAAGGCUCUUUAACUAUAGUUUGCAUUAUGAAUGCAAUCUUUGGUUGUUUAACUGCAAGUUCUACGGUAUCAGAGUUCGGUUUAAUUUGUGGACAGAAAUAUAAAGUUGGACUUGUCCAAUCCUUAUUUUUCGCUGCCUGCAUGAUUGGUGCUGGAGUAUUUGGACAUUUAUCAGAUUCCAAAUUGGGAAGAAAAGGCUCUUUAACUAUAGUUUGCAUUAUGAAUGCAAUCUUUGGUUGUUUAACUGCAACUUCUUGGGAUUAUUGGACUUAUACCUUAUUCCGUUUUCUCUCCGGUUUCAGCACCGGCGGGACUGGCCUUUGCGCGUUCGUUCUUGCUACUGAACCCGUUGGCCAGUCCUGGCGUGGUGUAGCUGGAAUGUCCACUUUUUAUUUCUUCUCUAUUGGAAUUGCCGCCUUAUCCGCCAUUGCAUAUUUCUUCCAAACGUGGCGAUCACUCUACAUAGCUUCGUCAAUUCCAUCAGUUAUAUUUGUCAUCUUACUACUCCCUUUCAUUCACGAGUCACCUCGUUGGUGUCUCGUGAGGGGGAAAAUUGACGAAGCUAUGAAGAUCAUGAACAGAAUUGCCAAAUCUAACGGUAAACAUCUCCCUGAUGACGUUGUUCUUGCUCUAGAUAGUGAAGUGAAUGAUGAUGUUCCUGAUUCUCAAUCCGUAUCAAAAGAAGCCCUAAACGGAUCCUUAUUAGAUGUACUCAGGCUUCCUUUGACACGAUUUCGGUUAUUCUUAGCUGUGCUGAUUAACUUCCUUUGCUCGGUUGUUUACUACGGGUUGAGCCUGAAUGCUGUUAACCUCGGGACCAACCUCUACCUCAACGUGGCUCUUAACGCGGUCGCUGAAAUGCCUGCCUAUUUUUUAACAGCAUUAGUGUUGGACAAGCUUGGUAGAAAGCCAUUAGCGAUAGGAACAAUGUGGUUCAGCGGUAUAUUCUGUUUAGCUGGAAGUUUGGCAAAGGGUGAUGAUGGAACGUGGAAGUUGGUUCGGAUGGUGUGUGGCGUGCUAGGUAUAUUUGGCAUGGCUGGGACUUACAAUCUACUAUUCGUGUAUUCGAUGGAGUUGUUUCCCACCGUGGUAAGAAAUGCUGCGUUGGGAUGUGCAACGCAGGCGUCACAAAUGGGGGCCAUUCUGGCCCCCUUUGUAGUUGUUUUAGGGGGUGGAAUACCAUUUGCUGUGUUUGCAUUUUGUGGAAUUGCAGGAGGCUUAUUGGUAAUUUACUUGCCAGAGACUUUAAACAGGCCAUUAUAUGAUACAAUGGCUGGAAUGGAAGAAGCUGAAGCAAAGAAACCAAGCAUUUUAUCUUAAUUUGCUAGUUUUUUGAGAACUUUUUUUGUAUUGUAUUUUUAGUUGUUGAAUGUAAUUUUGGAUUGGCUUGUAGUGCUAAGAGUUGAUCUUAUAUUAGGUUGUCAUAAGGCAUAUGCCUAGUUAUAACAAGGUAAG
rnacentral:misc_RNA from 1 species